rnacentral:rRNA from 1 species
CCCUUAGAUGUUCUGGGCUGCACGCGCGCUACACUGCUGCAAUUAACGGGUUUUCUGUGCCGAAAGGCUUGGGGAAUCCUUUGAAUAUGCGGCGUGAUGGGGAUAGAAUAUUGUAAUUAUUACUCUUCAACGAGGAAUUCCUAGUAAGCGCGGGUCAGCAGCCCGCGCUGAUUACGUCCCUGCCCUUUGUACACACCGCCCGUCGCUACUACCGAUUGAAUGAUUUAGUGAGGACUUCGGACUGGGACCGAUGCGGCUUUCGGGCUGCGUCGGUAUUCUGGAAAGAUGUCCAAACUGUAUCAUUUAGAGGAAGUAAAAGUCGUANCA